CAGUCGCCGCGGGAAUACAGAGGGUGCGAGCGUUAAUCGGAAUUACUGGGCGUAAAGCGCACGCAGGCGGUCUGUCAAGUCGGAUGUGAAAUCCCCGGGCUCAACCUGGGAACUGCAUUCGAAACUGGCAGGCUAGAGUCUUGUAGAGGGGGGUAGAAUUCCAGGUGUAGCGGUGAAAUGCGUAGAGAUCGGGAGGAACAUCAGUGGCGAAGGCGGCCAUCUGGGACAACACUGACGCUGAGGCACGAAAGCGUGGGGAGCAAACAGGAUUAGAUACCCCUGUAGUCCCUGUCUCUUAUAC
rnacentral:rRNA from 1 species